rnacentral:rRNA from 1 species
CCUACGGGGGGCAGCAGUGAGGAAUAUUGGUCAAUGGGCUUACGCCUGAACCAGCCAAGUCGCGUGAGUGAAGACUGCCCUAUGGGUCGUAAACCUCUUUUGUCAGGGAGCAACGCCGGCUACGCGUAGCCGGACUGAGAGUACCUGAAGAAAAAGCAUCGGUUAACUCCGUGCCAGCAGCGGCGGUAAUACGGAGGAUGCGAGGGUUAGCCGGAUUUAUUGGGUUUAAAGGGUGCGUAGGCGGAAUGCCAAGUCAGCGGUAAAAUCGCGGGGCUCAACCUCGCUCCGCCGUUGAAACUGGCAUUCUUGAGUGGGCGAGAAGUAUGCGGAAUGCGUGGUGUAGCGGUGAAAUGCAUAGAUAUCGCGCAGAACUCCGAUUGCGAAGGCAGCAUGCCGGCGCCCAACUGACGCUGAGGCACGAAAGCGUGGGUAUCGAACAGGAUUAGAUACCCCGGUAGUC